CGCCCUCCUCGAGGUUGAGCACCUUGACCACGCCGUCGUCGGCCAGCAGCGCGUAGCGGCGCGACCGGACGCCGAGCCCCACCGGCUUGUCCGACAGGUCCAGCUCCACGCCCAUGGCGCGCGUCAGCUCCCCGUUUCCGUCCGACAGGAGCAGCACCUCGUCGCCGACGCCGAGGCUCUCCUUCCACGCGCGCAUCACGAACGCGUCGUUGACGGAGACGCAGGCCACGGUGUCCACCCCCUUGGCGCGCAGCUCCCCGGCCCUGGCCACGAACCCCGGGAGGUGCUUCUGGGUGCAGGUGGGCGUGAAGGCGCCCGGGACCGCGAACAGGACCACCUUCUUGCCCGCGGUGAGGUCGCGGACCGUCACCGUCUUCAGCUCGCCGUCGGGGGCGUCGAAGUAGGAGAGCGUCGCUUCGGGGAGCCGGUCGCCGACCGCGAUGGCCGUUGUGGCGGCCGGGGACGCGGUCGCGGAGAGGGCCCGCGUCGCCGCGCGGGGCAGGGGCCCGGCGCGGAGGGACCCCGCGGGCGCGAGACGGCGGGAGGCGAAGGAGAGGGAGGAGGAGGGGCCGCGCGAGAGGAGGGCGCGCCUGGCCCCCGCGGCGGCGGCGGUGGCCGAGAGGGUGGCGAGGGCGGAGGUGGCCAUGGAGGGAGGCUAGGUGUUCGAGGAAAUGCGCUGUCUGUUGUUUGACUUCGGGGCGAGCGAGCCUAGGGUGGGGGAUUUGGGGAGCGAUCCCGACUCCGAGCGGCGGGAGCUGGCCCUAUGUGGGGGGAAUGGGG
rnacentral:rRNA from 1 species